ACCAUCAAGUCCAACUGUUCCCAGCACUGCCAAGGACACCGCUAACCCCUGGCACCGAGGGCCUCAUAUACACGGUGUGUGAGCACUUCCAAGAAUGGUGACUCCAGCACUGCCCUGGGCAGCCUGUUCCAAUGCCUGAGCACCCUUUGGGGAAGGAAUUGUUCCUCAUCUCCAUCUAAACCUCCCCUGGUGCAGCUUGAGGCUGUUUCCUCUUGUUCUAUCACUUGUUCCUUGGGAGAAGAGACCGACCCCACCUCACUCCAUCCUCCUGCCAGGCAGUUGUAGGGAGUGAUAAGGUCCCCCCUGAGCCUUCUCUUCUCCAGACUAAACCCCCAGGUCCCUCAGCCGUUCCUCAUCACACUUGUGCUCCAGGCCCUGCACCAGCUCCAUUGCCCUUCUCUGGCCCCACUCCAGCACCUCAAUGUCUCUCUUGUAGUGAGGAGCCCAGAACUGCACACAGGAUUUGAGGUGCAGCCUCACCAGUGCCCAGCACAGGGGGAUUCUUACUUCCCUAGCAUGUUAAUACAGCCAAGAUUACCACUGUUUGCUUCUGAGUAAACACGUUUUAUUUACUCAGAAGCUAUUUCCCAGCUGUCCAUAAUUCAGAACAUGAAUGAAAAACUUUAAAA